GGAGGAAAAGAAACCAACAGGGAUUCCCUGAGUAACGGCGAGCGAAAAGGGAAGAGCCCAGCGCCGAAUCCCCAGCUCGCAAGGGCGAGGGGAAAUGUGGCGUUUAGGAGUGAGCGUGCCGGUGGUCGACUCUGCAGCAAGUCCCCCUGACCGGGGCUGUUACCCAGAGUGGGUGCGAGGCCCAUAGCUGCUAGGUCUCCUCCGGAUGCGAUCUCCUUGGAGUCGGGUUGCUUGGGAGUGCAACCCUAAUCGGGUGGUAAACUCCACCUAAGGCUAAAUACUGCCGUGAGACCGAUAGCAAACAAGUACCGUGAGGGAAAGUUGCAAAGAACUUUGAAGAGAGAGUUCAAGAGUACGUGAAACUGCUCAGAGGUAAACGGGUGGGCCCUCGAAAUCCUGUGGCGGGAGGAUUCAGUCGGGAGGCGUGGACGCUUUGCUCCAAUUUGGGUCCCGAGACCGGGCCGUUCCUGUGAAGCGCUUCCGUGCCACCCGACGCAUUUGUUUCCCGUCCGAAGGACGCCGCAACCGGUUGGGAGACGGCCUUAAGGGCGAGAGCGGCAGGUGGCCGGUGGCGGGGACUCUGUCUCCGUCGCCGGUUGUUAGCCGUCUCGUCGCACGGCCCGUAGCCCGACCGUGGUGUCGCGAGGCCCCUCAUGGGCCUCUCCGCCUCCUCCUGAAAAGGUAGCGAGUAAGAACCCGGCAGGAGUUCGACCCCCUGCGGGCGCACGGACCGACUCCGUGGCCCAGCGUCGCGGUCGUCUUCGUUGGCCGGGACGGGCUCGUCGGAGUGUCGGCGGUUGGCGGCGAGUAGAUCGGUCACCCACCCGACCCGUCUUGAAACACGGACCAAGGAGUCUAACAUGUGUGCGAGUCAAUGGGUCUCGAAUAAGCCCAGAGGCGCAAUGAAAGCAAAGGCCGGAGGUAUCCGCGCCGCGUUGGGAUCCCCGCUCCACCGCGGGCGGGGCGCACCAACGACCCGUCCUGUUCCACUUGUGGAUUGGGCGGAGUCCGAGCAUACACGUUGGGACCCGAAAGAUGGUGAACUAUGCCCGGGCAGGACGAGGCCAGAGGAAACUCUGGUGGAGGUCCGUAGCGGUUCUGACGUGCAAAUCGAUCGUCAGAUCCGGGUCUAGGGGCGAAAGACUAAUCGAACCAUCUAGUAGCUGGUUCCCUCCGAAGUUUCCCUCAGGAUAGCUGGCGCUCGGAGAUAUCAGUCUCAUCCGGUAAAGCGAAUGAUUAGAGGCCUUGGGGCCGAAACGACCUCAACCUAUUCUCAAACUUUAAAUGGGUGAGAAGUCCGCCUUGCAUGACUGAAGGCCGGACGUUACGGAUGAGAGUGCCCAGUGGGCCACUUUUGGUAAGCAGAACUGGCGCUGUGGG
rnacentral:rRNA from 1 species